rnacentral:rRNA from 1 species
UGGGAAGUAUUGGACAAUGGGCGAAAGCCUGAUCCAGCAAUGCCGCGUGAGUGAUGAAGGCCUUAGGGUUGUAAAGCUCUUUUACCCGGGAUGGAUAAUGACAGUACCGGGAGAAUAAGCUCCGGCUAACUCCGUGCCAGCAGCCGCGGUAAUACGGAGGGAGCUAGCGUUGUUCGGAAUUACUGGGCGUAAAGCGCACGUAGGCGGCUUUGUAAGUCAGAGGUGAAAGCCUGGAGCUCAACUCCAGAACUGCCUUUGAGACUGCAUCGCUUGAAUCAGGAGAGGUGAGUGGAAUUCCGAGUGUAGAGGUGAAAUUCGUAGAUAUUCGGAAGAACACCAGUGGCGAAGGCGGCUCACUGGACUUGGUAUUGACGCUGAGGUGCGAAAGCGUGGGAGCAAAACA